rnacentral:rRNA from 1 species
UGGGGAUGACGUCAAGUCCUCAUGGCCCUUAUAGGUGGGGCUACACACGUCAUACAAUGGAUGGUACAAAGGGUCGCCAACCCGCGAGGGGGAGCCAAUCCCAUAAAGCCAUUCGUAGUCCGGAUCGCAGUCUGCAACUCGACUGCGUGAAGUCGGAAUCGCUAGUAAUCGUGGAUCAGAAUGUCACGGUGAAUACGUUCCCGGGUCCUU